AUGAGGGACGCCAAUGGUGGGAGGGACGCCAAUGGUGGGAGCUUCAAUGGAGCUGAACACCACCAUAGGAAGCCAAGGUCCAGUGAGCUGCCCAAGGGGAAUUUGGAGAACGGUGCGAGGCCCUCUGCUAGCCAUGAGGAUGGGGUGAGUGUUUCAGGCGGUGCUAGCCCAAAUAGUGGAGGGAUACUGGACAAUUGCGGUCUCCUGCCAAAUAACUGUUUGCCAUGUAUGGCCUCUGCUGUUGGUGUGAAUGAGAAGAAGAGGGCGCUCUCCACAAGCCCGACUCAUUCGAUGAAGAUGCCUUCGUUGAAGCUCUCGUUCAAGAAGAAGUCUGGGGAAGCCAACCCGUCGUCCACACUAUUGUCUACAAAGGAUUUCCUUGAAAGGCCUCUAGCAGGUUCUCAAGUACAGUUAUGUUUGUUGGAAAAGAAAGUGCUGAAUAGCUGGUCUCAUAUUGAUCCUGGUACAUUCAGAGUCCGGGGAUCUAACUAUCUCAGGGAUAAGAAGAAAGAGCUUGCUCAAAAUUGUGCGGCGUACUAUCCAUUUGGAGUUGAUGUAUACUUAUCGCCGCAAAAACUCCAUCAUAUAUCUCGAUUUGUCAAGCUUCCUGAUAUUCAAACCUCCAGCAAACUCCCACCUCUUUUGGUGGUCAAUGUACAGGUUCCACUAUAUCCUGCUUCACUCUUUCAGAAUGAAACCGAUGGGGAAGGCAUGAGCUUUGUUUUGUAUUUUAGGCUUUCCGAAGGUUACUCAAAAGAGCUUUCACCCUUAUUCAUAGAGAAUAUCAGAAGGUUGGUUGAUGAUGAUGUAGAAAAAAUAAAAGGAUUUCCUAUGGAAACAAGUAUAUCAUUUCGGGAACGGCUGAAGAUACUUGGACGGGUGGCUAAUCUGGAGGACCUUCCUUUAAGUGCCGCAGAGAGGAAGCUAAUGCAUGCAUACAACGAGAAGCCUGUGCUUUCUAGACCUCAGCAUCAAUUUUUCCUGGGUGAUAACUACUUUGAGGUUGACAUUGACAUGCAUAGAUUUGGCUACAUCUCAAGGAAAGGUUUCGAGACAUUCCUGGACAGGCUAAAAAUAUGCAUGCUAGAUGUUGGGCUAACCAUCCAGGGAAACAAACCCGAAGAACUGCCUGAGCAGGUCUUGUGCUGUGUUAGGUUGAACGGGAUAGAUUAUGCAAAGUAUCAGCCACUGAUGACAAAUGGUGCCUGA
rnacentral:rRNA from 1 species